rnacentral:rRNA from 1 species
AGUUUGAUCAUGGCUCAGAUUGAACGCUGGCGGGAUGUUUUACAUGCAAGUCGAACGGCAGCAAUGGACUUCGGUCUGGUGGCGAGUGGCGAACGGGUGAGUAAUGUAUCGGAACGUGCCUAGUAGCGGGGAUAACUACGUGAGCGUAGCCAAUACCGCACGCCCUUCGGGGGAAAGCGGGGGACCUUCGGGCCUCGCACUAUUAGAGCGGCCGAUACUGAUUGGAAUAGUUGGUGGCAGGUAACGGCUCACCAAGGCGACGAUCCGUAGCCGCUCGAGGCAGGACGACCAGCCACUGGGACUGAGACACGGCCCAGACUCCUACGGGAGGCAAGGUGGGGAAUUUUGGACAAUGGGGGAAACCCCGAUCCAGCCAUCCCGGGCGUGUGCGAUGAAGGCCUUCGGGUUGUAAAGCACUUUUGGUAGAACAAACGGCAUCGACAAUACUCCGCAACUCGAGCCUGUACCUGCAGAAUAAGCACCGGCUAACCAUGUGCCAGCAGCCGCGGUAAUAUGUAGGGUGCAAGCGCUAAUCGGAAUUACUGGCGCAAGCGUGCGCAGGCGGUUCGAAAGAAAGAGGAACCUUAGAGCUUAACUUUGAACUGCAUUUUUAACUACCGGGAGCCAGAGUGCAACAGGAGGUGGAAUCGCGGCAGAAAUGCGUAGAUAUGAGAACACCGAUGGCGAAGGUGCAGCCUCCUGGGAUAACACUGACGCUCAUGCACGAAAGCGUGGGGAGCAAACAGGAUUAGAUACCCUGGUGUCCACGCCCUAAACGAUGUCAAUUAGCUGUUGGGGCCUCGGGCCUUGGUAGCGCAUAAUCUGCAGAAGUUGACCGCCUGGGAGUACGGUCGCAAAAAGAUUAAACCCGCUGAACUGAUUGACCCGCAAUAAGCGGUGGAUGAUGUGAUUAAUUCGGAUGUAACGCGUGAAAAACCUUACCUGCCUGACAUGUCUGAAUCCCGAAGGAGAUUUGGGAGUGCUCGCAAGAGAACCGGAACACAGGUGCUGCAUGGCUGUCGUCACCGCGUCGUGAGAUGUUGGGUUAAGUCCCGCAACGAGAGCGCAACCUUGUCAGCUGGGUUGCUGCUGAGAAGCGCACCACGAGACUGCCGGUGACAAACCGGUGAAGGUGGAUGACGUCAAGUUCAUGGCCCUUAUGGGUAGGGCUUGUUAUCAUACAGCAAUGGUCGGGACAGGGUCGCCAACCCGCGAGGGGGAGCCGGUCCGUGAAACCCGAUCGUAGUCCGGAUCGCAGUCUGCAACCUGACUGCGUGUCGGAACGCCACAAUCGCGGAUCAGCAUGUCGCGGUGAAUGAGCAAGUCCUGGCCUUGUACACACCGCCCGUCACACCAUGGGGAGUGGGUUUUACCAGAAGCGCAGUUAGCCCAACCGCGAGUGGGCGAUUACCGUUACGGUAGGAUUCAUGACUGGGUGAAGUCGUAACAAGGU